ACGGGUGAGUAACACGUGAGUAACCUGCCCUUAACUCUGGGAUAAGCCUGGGAAACUGGGUCUAAUACCGGAUAGGAGCGUCCACCGCAUGGUGGGUGUUGGAAAGAUUUAUCGGUUUUGGAUGGACUCGCGGCCUAUCAGCUUGUUGGUGAGGUAAUGGCUCACCAAGGCGACGACGGGUAGCCGGCCUGAGAGGGUGACCGGCCACACUGGGACUGAGACACGGCCCAGACUCCUACGGGAGGCAGCAGUGGGGAAUAUUGCACAAUGGGCGAAAGCCUGAUGCAGCGACGCCGCGUGAGGGAUGACGGCCUUCGGGUUGUAAACCUCUUUCAGUAGGGAAGAAGCGAAAGUGACGGUACCUGCAGAAGAAGCACCGGCUAACUACGUGCCAGCAGCCGCGGUAAUACGUAGGGUGCGAGCGUUAUCCGGAAUUAUUGGGCGUAAAGAGCUCGUAGGCGGUUUGUCGCGUCUGUCGUGAAAGUCCGGGGCUUAACCCCGGAUCUGCGGUGGGUACGGGCAGACUAGAGUGCAGUAGGGGAGACUGGAAUUCCUGGUGUAGCGGUGGAAUGCGCAGA
rnacentral:rRNA from 1 species